rnacentral:rRNA from 1 species
AACGAACGCUGGCGGCAGGCCUAACACAUGCAAGUCGAACGGGGCAGCAAUGCCUAGUGGCGGACGGGUGAGGAAUACGUAGGAAUCUGCCCUUAAGUGGGGGAUAACCAGGGGAAACCCUGACUAAUACCACAUGAUCUCUUCGGAGCAAAGAGGGGGACCGCAAGGCCUCUCGCUUCUGGAUGAGCCUACGUCUGAUUAGCUAGUUGGUAGGGUAAAGGCCUACCAAGGCGACGAUCAGUAACUGGUCUGAGAGGAUGAUCAGUCACACCGGAACUGAGACACGGUCCGGACUCCUACGGGAGGCAGCAGUGGGGAAUAUUGGACAAUGGGCGCAAGCCUGAUCCAGCAAUGCCGCGUGUGUGAAGAAGGCCUUCGGGUUGUAAAGCACUUUAGCCUGGAAAGAAAAAACUUUGGUUAACACCCAAAGUCUUGACGGUACCAGGAGAAUAAGCACCGGCUAACUCUGUGCCAGCAGCCGCCGUAAUAC